UACGUAGGGCGCAAGCGUUAUCCGGAAUUAUUGGGCGUAAAGAGCUCGUAGGCGGUUUGUCGCGUCUGCCGUGAAAGUCCGGGGCUCAACUCCGGAUCUGCGGUGGGUACGGGCAGACUAGAGUGAUGUAGGGGAGACUGGAAUUCCUAGUGUAGCGGUGAAAUGCGCAGAUAUCAGGAGGAACACCGAUGGCGAAGGCAGGUCUCGUGGGCAUUAACUGACGCUGAGGAGCGAAAGCAUGGGGAGCGAACAGG
rnacentral:rRNA from 1 species